GAUGAACGCUGGCGGCGUGCUUAACACAUGCAAGUCGAACGAAGCACUUUAUUUGAUUUCCUUCGGGACUGAUUAUUUUGUGACUGAGUGGCGGACGGGUGAGUAACGCGUGGGUAACCUGCCUUGUACAGGGGGAUAACAGUUGGAAACGGCUGCUAAUACCGCAUAAGCGCACAGCAUCGCAUGAUGCAGUGUGAAAAACUCCGGUGGUAUAAGAUGGACCCGCGUUGGAUUAGCUAGUUGGUGAGGUAACGGCCCACCAAGGCGACGAUCCAUAGCCGACCUGAGAGGGUGACCGGCCACAUUGGGACUGAGACACGGCCCACACUCCUACGGGAGGCAGCAGUGGGGAAUAUUGCACAAUGGGCGAAAGCCUGAUGCAGCGACGCCGCGUGAGCGAAGAAGUAUUUCGGUAUGUAAAGCUCUAUCAGCAGGGAAGAUAAUGACGGUACCUGACUAAGAAGCACCGGCUAAAUACGUG
rnacentral:rRNA from 1 species